rnacentral:rRNA from 1 species
AAUCAACGCUGGCGGCGUGCCUAACACAUGCAAGUCGAACGAGAAAGUGGAGCAAUCCAUGAGUAAAGUGGCGACCGGGUGAGUAACACGUGACUAACCUACCCUGAAGUGGGGAAUAACCUCGGGAAACCGGGGCUAAUACCGCAUAACAUCGCGAGCUGUAAACGCUUGUGAUCAAAGGAGCAAUUCGCUUUUGGAGGGGUCGCGGCUGAUUAGCUAGUUGGUAAGGUAACGGACGACCUAAGGACUUAGAUCAGUAUCCGGCCGUCGAGAGGGCGGCACGGAC